CAUCAGUGCUGUAUAACACCUAUCAAACAAAAAUGUUUCCCAUAAAGAAUUAAUGCUUACCACUUCCUCCUAGCCUCUCUUUUAAUGCAACGCUGCAUACAGAAUCACAAAGCAGUCAAGGCUGAAUCAGAUCUCUGUAGGUCAUCAGGUCCAACUUUCCUGCUCAGGCAGGAAAGAACCUAGAACAGGAUGCCCAGGGCCAUGCUCAGACAGCUUCUUAAGUUCUUGAAGAAGGAAGACUCCACGGCCGCUCUGGCAACCUGUGCCAGUGCUCAUGCACCUGCACAGCAAAGUGUUUCCUGA